UUACCCUAUUUGUAUGUACAAUGUCCAGAUAUUCCUAUCCAUCCAACGUCUGAAGGGGAUGCAUUUACAAAUGCUGUCUCUCUAGCCAUGGAGAAAGCCUUGAAGCUCAAAGGCAAUGCUAGCGUAAAACGGCAACACAUGCAUGGUUGCAGCCUUGUACGAGCAAGGAGAUUUUAUGGUUAUCAUGCAUCUGAAGAGCUGUUUGUCAAGAUAUACCUGU